rnacentral:rRNA from 1 species
UACGUAUGUCCCAAGCGUUGCCCGGAAUUACUGGGUGUAAAGGGUUCGUAGGCGGUUUGGUAAGUUGGAUAUGAAAGACCGGAGCUCAACUCCGUGUUUGUGUUCAAAACUGCCAAACUAGAAUUAGGGAGAGGUUAGCGGAAUUCUGAGUGUAGGGGUGCAAUCCGUAGAUACUCAGAGGAACACCAAAAGCGAAGGCAGCUAACUGGAACUAUAUUGACGCUAAGGAACGAAAGCGUGGGGAGCGAAAAGG